rnacentral:rRNA from 1 species
GACGAACGCUGGCGGCGUGCUUAACACAUGCAAGUCGAACGGAAAGGCCCUGCUUGCAGGGUCCUCGAGUGGCGAACGGGUGAGUAACACGUGGGUGAUCUGCCCUGCACUUCGGGAUAAGCCUGGGAAACUGGGUCUAAUACCGGAUAGGAGCCAUUUUUAGUGUGAUGGUUGGAAAGUUUUUUCGGUGUAGGAUGAGCUCGCGGCCUAUCAGCUUGUUGGUGGGGUAAUGGCCUACCAAGGCGGCGACGGGUAGCCGACCUGAGAGGGUGGACGGCCACAUUGGGACUGAGAUACGGCCCAGACUCCUACGGGAGGCAGCAGUGGGGAAUAUUGCACAAUGGGCGCAAGCCUGAUGCAGCGACGCCGCGUGGGGGAUGACGGCCUUCGGGUUGUAAACUCCUUUCGCUAGGGACGAAGCUUUUUGUGACGGUACCUAGAUAAGAAGCACCGGCUAACUACGUG